CCGUUGUUGGAUGAUAUAAGCGGUGUACCGAACUGGAAGAAGGUGAAUAGCGGGUUGCUUAAGAUGUAUAAGGUUGAAGUCCUUGAGAAAGUUCCUAUUAUGCAGCAUUUCCUCUUUGGCUGGCUCAUCAAGUGGGAAGAGUGAUUUACUUAAGUGCCAUACAUGGAGGCAAGGACAGCGAUCUUCUCAUCCUUGAGGUGGCUUAACAUAAAGUAGAGACGCUUUUGCUUUCUGCAUGUAAUCCGAUACGCAUGGCUUAUAUUUUGUAGUCUAUCAUGCCAUCUUCUUAUUGUAUUCUCUGCGUUUUAGACUUCAGAUUGUCUUUUUUGAUGAUUCUUUUCUACCUCUUAUGCUUUGAAAGUAUCUAAUAGAGUUCAGAACCA